AAAAUCUUUAUAUCUAAGGCGUUCAACCAGUUUCAACUACAAUAAAUCAAUCUCAAAGCUAUUUCUUAUUACUAACAUGGUAAUGAUUACAAACAACACUUGCUCAGGGAACACUAGUUGGAAUUUACCUUUUAUACCACCACCUGACCAAAAGCCGGUAGUUUUUCCUAUCUGUAAUGAGCUAACCCCAUUUCAGCAGACAGCCAUGGGAAAGAGAAUUUCAGUGUUAUUUGAACUAUCAGGUAUAUAUCCAGACAUCAACAAUUCAAUAGUGAUCGAACAGCUACAUUUUUCCUCUUUUUUUUUUUUUUUUUGGGAAGUCCUGGCCUCCUGGGUGUCUUUGG
rnacentral:misc_RNA from 1 species